rnacentral:lncRNA from 1 species
UUUAAUGGAAACCUAGCACACACUUACUUCAUUUCGGGUUAUUAAAUUGCGUGAAGCGUUCAAGUUAGUUGCCAUUCUUUGCUGUAGCUCAUUUGUUCUUUUCGAUCCAAAGAACUAUUAGAUGGUUAAAACUCAUCACAUAGGAGGGAUUAAUCAUGCUCCCAAAAUUAGAAAACAUGUUGUUCUGAGAGACUGAAUGUCAAAAUUGUAUACUCAUAAUGCUUAAACGAUUGGGACUCGAGGAUCCCACUACAAUAUUUAAAAUGGCAGCUAAGGAAACCCUGAAGUGUUUAGGAGCGGGCUAAAGCUAGAGUUCUCUUACUCUUUGAUUACGGGCACCACUUUCAGAUAAAAACAUAGACCUGAAUGGCAUCAUCCAGUAUCCAAGGAAACCAUCUGAAUUAUCCCAUGGAUUCGCAAUACAAAAGGUGGUAUUCUCAAGACAGUGGAGCAUCCAGAGACAUUAGACUCAUCCAUCUUGGAAGACCCCACCCUGCCCCCUUCGCUUUAGCUGCUUGUGGAUUGUGCCUCUGA